rnacentral:rRNA from 1 species
GACGAACGCUGGCGGCGUGCUUAACACAUGCAAGUCGAACGGAAAAGCCCUGCUUUUUUGUGGUGCUCGAGUGGCGAACGGGUGAGUAACACGUGAGUAACCUGCGCUUGGCUUUGGGACAUCUUCAGGAAGCUGGGGCUAAUGCCGGAUCGGUGCUCCUGCUGUAGGGUGGGGGUCGGACAUUUUGGGUGGAUGGGGAUGGAGUUGGGGCGUGUUAGAUUGUUGGUUGGGUAGUGGCUUAGCAAAGUAUCGGCUGGUAGCCGACCUGAGAGGUAGACCUGCCACGUUGGGACUGAGAUACGGCACAGACUCCAACGGGAGGCAACGGUGGGGAGUGUUAUACAGUGGGCGGGAGCCUGAUGAGACGACGCCACGUGGGGGAAGAAGGCAAUCGUGUUGGAAAGCGCAGUCGCCUGAGACGAAGCGUGAGUGACGGUAAUGGGAAAAGAAGCACCGGCUAACUACGUG